AAUCUCUGGCCAUGCUCUUUUUACCGCAGCUGGUGCUCACAAGGAAUAAAUUGUUUUUAUUCCAGCAGUGUGUGUUUUGAGAAAGGUGAUGCUAUCAGUAUGAUAAAAAUUACUGGAUACAACUUGUCUAGAGCUGCUGCAGUUUUCUGACUCAGCUUUGGAGGAGAAAUAAACUCCAAAAAAAGAGAAUCCUCUCAAAAUAACCUCCCCAUUUCCCCUUCUGCCCACUACAAAAAUUCUAUGACCGAUACAGCGAGAAAAAUCCUUGUAAGACAGUGGCAAUUGGCAAUUAUACCAGCUGUCAAAAGCUCCCUUCAGACAUAGCACUAAGCCAUGGCCUAGUAUUUUGAGAACAAGCCUAGCUUCCACAUACAUGUACAUGCAUCCUGUCCCUUCUCCAGGGUGACUGUGAGGAGUUCAGAAGCUUAGUGUGUUGUGCAUAUCAUAAACCGUGGUUAAGUGUGGCUAAUGAAAACAAGCCAGUUUAUAAACUAUGGUUUGAAGUUGGCUGGUUUUCACUAACUAUAGUAGUUUCUCUGGUUUCAGACAACAUGGCAAGUUCCAGUUUUUGUUUUGUUUUGUUGUUUUUAAUGGAAGUGUGCCAGCUUAUGAGGGGGACAUGAGCCAGGGGCAGUGGGUAGCCUAGUUCACAUAACAUUGCACAUAAUGGUUUAACGUUCUAUCUGGACCAACCCACAGAGUAGCUUUGUAAGUUGUAGGAUGUUUCCAUUAUGACAAAGAUAAUGCCAUACAAAUGAAUUAAGGGAGGGAACAUGGAAAAUUGAAAAGAGGAAAAACAAACCAAUGCAGCUUUCUUGUACCAAGGCUAGUCCAUCAUUUGCACCAAAUGUGUCACUCGUUAUUUGUAUUGUAUCCUCUUUAUUAGCCUCUCCAUUAAAUGGAUAAUGAAAAUCA